AGUAAAGCCUUGUGGAUGACAGUAGGUCCACUGGAAAAGCAAUUUCUCCUCCUUGUCCCUUCUGUUGAUUCUCUGCCACAGAUAAUUCAUUCAGCUCAGUUUUGAACAGUGUGUUUGGUUUCUUGAAUUUGUGUGUCAGUUACUUGCACCAGAAACACAAGCAGUAAUUAAACCUUGAUUGCAGAUGUCCUAAUGGUUACUUAGUGCCUGUUUCACACCUGUUGGAGUCUAGACAAAAACAAGCAGUGACAGACAAGAAUGUAUGUUGCUGUGCUACAGAAAGCAGGGAGAGAAAAUGGGUUUUAAACAAGACUUGUUUGGUGUCUUACAGCCAAUUAAAGCACAUAGCAGGCUCUCAGUAACAUCAGCUGUUCCUAGGAGGGCUGGGAGGCACUGCCAUUUGCUGGGGAAGAGUGGGAUUGUAAUGUUCCUGUCAGGAGCAGAUGGGACUUCAUGUUGUGCAACAGCUUGUGAUGUAUCUCAGUGCUGGUUGGGAUGUGCACUUCAUUAGGGUGCUUAAAAAAAAAAGUAGAAAGAAGAAAGCUUUGGGCCUGCUUUCCCCCACCCCGCAUUACCUGGAAUUUCCUGGAUAUUUGAUGACCAAACAAAUUACAGUCUGGAAAUGUGUGAUACUUGUGAUACAAUGGUGUUAUCAUGCUCCACUGGCUGUGGGCGGGGGAAGGAAAACUGCAGGCCACAAAUGCACACAAGGUCCAUUGAAACAACUGUCCUACCUUCUAAAAUCUGAGUUGUGAAGUAAAUACAGAGUGGACAUUGUUAUCUUCUCUUACUUUGUAUCACAAAGGCCCAGACCUCAUUCCUGGUGAAUUUCACCCCAUUCAGUGCUGCCCUGGUGUGAGGGAGUGAACAGAGCAGGAAGGUGCUGCAGUGGAGAAGGUCCCUUUACAAGCUAUGAUGAUUACUCUCAGCAAGCAUCAAGCAAGUUAAAACCCCUUUAUCGAAGUCUGUUAUGUGCUGUCGACAAGCUUCAGUCUAACAAGAAACCAGUUUUCCAGAAGCCUGCAGUCCCCUGCCUGUGAUCUCUAGAUGUCUCUGUUGCCCCAAUACCAGAACAUAUGAAAAAGGCAGGGUUAGCAGAACACUCGAUGGGCAGACAGAGCUUGCUGUUCCUCUUUAGAGAGUGAGGAAGACUGUUCUUCUACAUGAAACAUAUUAAUUACUGGUUCCCUGGGUGCUGGGAUAUCUCUUUUCUCAUGGAGCUGCCGGAUUUCUGUGUCAGUACUGUGUGUGGGAGAUGAAGUCCAGCAUCAGAGCCAGGCUAAAGAGGAGAUGGAGACCAGGAGGAUCUCUGCAUCGUAAAGGAAACACGCUGUAUGCUUCCAUACAAUACCACACCUCUAGAAGCCACACUGAAUUUAAGGAGAAACCCUUCUCUUUCCUGGGUUGC
ensembl:lncRNA